UAUUCUAUUUUUCUUGGAUUAUAUGUUGAUGCAAGAAUUGCCAGUUGCCCCAAAUGCUUUCACUAAAUAUAUCUUUUCCUUCUUGGUUGUUUUUCCUUUCCACUUCUUUAUUUCCACCUUAUUCUCUCCUUCCUUCUUGUCACAUUCACUUACCGCUGAUGGUCUAAAUUUUUUAGUGACAAGCUGUUUAAGGAGAUACAGGAUCUCAACUUUGAAGUUGUCAUCCAGGUUGAUCUAUUUAAACCAGUUUAUAUUACUUGCAAUCAUAGCUUAUACUUCAAUUUCCAAAUCUGUCUCUUGUCAGUUGUCUAUAAAAAAAAGUCCCAUUAUUUUUCUUGGAGUUCUAUUUUCUUAGUUGCCAUCUGCAGUAUGAUUGCAGAUUCUACGUCAGAAAGCAACAUCCAUGAAGCAGGACUACACAGAAGUGACAACAACUACACAGUCAGUUUCUGAAUUAAAGGACUUUGU